rnacentral:rRNA from 1 species
UGCAGUCGAGCGGAGCGAGGGUGCUUGCACCUUAGCUUAGCGGCGGACGGGUGAGUAAUGCUUAGGAAUCUGCCUAUUAGUGGGGGACAACAUUCCGAAAGGGAUGCUAAUACCGCAUACGCCCUACGGGGGAAAGCAGGGGAUCUUCGGACCUUGCGCUAAUAGAUGAGCCUAAGUCGGAUUAGCUAGUUGGUGGGGUAAAGGCCUACCAAGGCGACGAUCUGUAGCGGGUCUGAGAGGAUGAUCCGCCACACUGGGACUGAGACACGGCCCAGACUCCUACGGGAGGCAGCAGUGGGGAAUAUUGGACAAUGGGGGGAACCCUGAUCCAGCCAUGCCGCGUGUGUGAAGAAGGCCUUUUGGUUGUAAAGCACUUUAAGCGAGGAGGAGGCGCUCUAGGCUAAUACCCUAGAUGCGUGGACGUUACUCGCAGAAUAAGCACCGGCUAACUCUGUGCCAGCAGCCGCGGUAAUACAGAGGGUGCGAGCGUUAAUCGGAUUUACUGGGCGUAAAGCGCGCGUAGGUGGCUAAUUAAGUCAAAUGUGAAAUCCCCGAGCUUAACUUGGGAAUUGCAUUCGAUACUGGUUAGCUAGAGUAUGGGAGAGGAUGGUAGAAUUCCAGGUGUAGCGGUGAAAUGCGUAGAGAUCUGGAGGAAUACCGAUGGCGAAGGCAGCCAUCUGGCCUAAUACUGACACUGAGGUGCGAAAGCAUGGGGAGCAAACAGGAUUAGAUACCCUGGUAGUCCAUGCCGUAAACGAUGUCUACUAGCCGUUGGGGCCUUUGAGGCUUUAGUGGCGCAGCUAACGCGAUAAGUAGACCGCCUGGGGAGUACGGUCGCAAGACUAAAACUCAAAUGAAUUGACGGGGGCCCGCACAAGCGGUGGAGCAUGUGGUUUAAUUCGAUGCAACGCGAAGAACCUUACCUGGCCUUGACAUACAGAGAACUUUCCAGAGAUGGAUUGGUGCCUUCGGGAACUCUGAUACAGGUGCUGCAUGGCUGUCGUCAGCUCGUGUCCUGAGAUGUUGGGUUAAGUCCCGCAACGAGCGCAACCCUUUUCCUUACUUGCCAGCAUUUCGGAUGGGAACUUUAAGGAUACUGCCAGUGACAAACUGGAAGAAAGCCGGGAACAACGUCAAGUCAUCAUGGGCCCUUACGGGCGAGGGCUACCACCGUGCUUACAAUGGUCGGUUCCAAAGGGUGGUU